UCCCUGAGACCCUAACUUGUG
rnacentral:ncRNA from 9 species